AGUCGCAGGGUACAUGAGGAAAGCUUGCUUUCCUUGAUGACGACUGGCGCACGGGUGAGUAACGCGUAUCCAACCUUCCCAUAACUACGGGAUAACCCGUUGAAAGACGGCCUAAUACCGUAUGACAUCGUUUGCUGACAUCAAAUAACGAUUAAAGGUUUAGCGGUUAUGGAUGGGGAUGCGUCUGAUUAGCUUGUUGGCGGGGUAACGGCCCACCAAGGCUACGAUCAGUAGGGGUUCUGAGAGGAAGGUCCCCCACAUUGGAACUGAGACACGGUCCAAACUCCUACGGGAGGCAGCAGUGAGGAAUAUUGGUCAAUGGGCGAGAGCCUGAACCAGCCAAGUAGCGUGCAGGAAGACGGCCCUAUGGGUUGUAAACUGCUUUUAUGUGGGGAUAAAGUGCGCGACGUGUCGUGCAUUGCAGGUACCACAUGAAUAAGGACCGGCUAAUUCCGUGCCAGCAGCCGCGGUAAUACGGAAGGUCCGGGCGUUAUCCGGAUUUAUUGGGUUUAAAGGGAGCGUAGGCUGUCUAUUAAGCGUGUUGUGAAAUUUACCGGCUCAACCGGUGGCUUGCAGCGCGAACUGGUCGACUUGAGUAUGCAGGAAGUAGGCGGAAUUCAUGGUGUAGCGGUGAAAUGCUUAGAUAUCAUGACGAACUCCGAUUGCGCAGGCAGCUUACUGUAGCAUAACUGACGCUGAUGCUCGAAAGUGCGGGUAUCAAACAGGAUUAGAUACCCUGGUAGUCCGCACGGUAAACGAUGGAUGCUCGCUAUUCGUCCUAUUUGGAUGAGUGGCCAAGUGAAAACAUUAAGCAUCCCACCUGGGGAGUACGCCGGCAACGGUGAAACUCAAAGGAAUUGACG
rnacentral:rRNA from 1 species